rnacentral:tRNA from 1 species
GAACCGCCGACCCUCUGCUUGUAAGGCAGAUGCUCUNAGAGCAUCUGACUUUUAAUCAGAGGGUCAGAGGUUCGAAUCCUCUAUGGCUCA